rnacentral:rRNA from 1 species
AGCGAACGUUUGCGGCGGGCCUAACACAUGCAAGUCGAACGCACUAGCAAUAGUGAGUGGCGCACGGGUGCGUAACACGUGGGUAAUCAACCCUUCAGCUUGGGAUAACGACUUGAAAGGGUCGCUAAUACCGGAUACGGCGCGGGAGGCUUCGGCUUCUCACGAGAAAGCCUCGCAAGGGGCACUGAAGGACGAGCCUGCGGCCCAUCAGCUAGUUGGUGAGGUAAGAGCUCACCAAGGCGAAGACGGGUAGCUGGUCUGAGAGGAUGAUCAGCCACACUGGAACUGAGACACGGUCCAGACUCCUACGGGAGGCAGCAGUGGGGAAUAUUGCGCAAUGGGCGAAAGCCUGACGCAGCCACGCCGCGUGAGCGAUGAAGGCCUCGGGUCGGUAAAGACGUCUGUCAAAGGAAGAAGUAGUGCAAUGGCGUAAUACCUAGUUG